rnacentral:rRNA from 1 species
GAUGAACGCUAGCGGCAGGCCUAAUACAUGCAAGUCGUGGGGCAGCAGGGUUGUAGCAAUACAAUCGCUGGCGACCGGCAAACGGGUGCGUAACACGUACGCAACCUUCCCGUUACUGUGGCAUAGCCUAGGGAAACUUGGAUUAAUACCACAUAUUAUAUUGGUGAGGCAUCUCAUUGAUAUCAAAGCUUCGGCGGUAACGGAUGGGCGUGCGGUUGAUUAGGUAGUUGGCGGGGUAACGGCCCACCAAGCCUACGAUCAAUAGCUGGUGUGGGAGCCGGAUCAGCCACACGGGCACUGAGACACGGGCCCGACUCCUACGGGAGGCAGCAGUAAGGAAUAUUGGGCAAUGGACGAAAGUCUGACCCAGCCAUGCCGCGUGAAGGAUUAAGGUCCUCUGGAUUGUAAACUUCUUUUCUCUGGGGCGAAAACCAGCUAUUCUUAGCUAUUUGACAGUACCAGAGGAAUAAGCACCGGCUAACUCCGUGCCAGCCGCCGCGGUAAAAC